rnacentral:lncRNA from 1 species
AAAAAUACUAAAAAUUAGCCAGGCAUGGAGGCAUGUGCCUAUAGUACACUGGGAAGCUACUCAGGUGAUCCUCUCACCUCAGACUCCGAAAGGGUUGGGAAUAUAGCCAUGAGCCACCACACCGGGCCUGACAAUUAAUAUUUUUAUUUGGAAUCACGUACAGUGGUGGAGGUGGGAGGCUAUAAUCUUUCAGUCAUUAAAACCCCUAGCAGUCUUAAUUCAGUCUGCUAGAUUUGAUAGAAAUCAGAGGAUAAGAGAGUAGACCUCUGGGGCAGGAGGCAUUGGAAGAAGGAGAAGCCUACUCUCCUUAUACAUUUCUAGUAGUAAUACCUUUGUAACUCUAGAUACAGCCUCAGGCAUCCCUUUUGAUUUUUCCCCUUAUUCGUCCCCUAUAUUCAACUUUAUCUUUACUUUGAAAAUAUAAUCUGGAUUUUGUCUUAAUCUCUUCCCUUUUCUAUUAUUGUCUAACCUAAACCUUUAUCAUGCCACUUCAGGAUUCUUUAAACAAUUUUCUCAUCUGAUCUUCCUGACAACAGUUAAUCCCCUGGCUCUUGUCUAAUGAAUCAUUCUAUAAUACUUUCAUCAUAUGACUCGGUGCUUGCAAAUCUAAAAAAGAAUCUCCAUGGCCGGGCGCGGUGGCUCACGCCUAUAAUCCCAGCACUUUGAGAAGCCGAGGCGGGUGGAUCACGAGGUCAAGAGAUUGAGACCAUCCUGCUCAACAAGGUGAAACCCCGUCUCUACUAAAAAUACAAAAAUUAGCUGGGCAUGGUGGCGCGCGCCUGUAGAACAAAAAUCUCCGUUGCUUAGUGACUUAUCCAAACUUUAAACUUUCAGUCUGAGUUUUUUUGUUGUUUUUUGUUUUUUUUAGACUGAGUUUCGCUGUUGUUACCCAGACUGGAGUGCAAUGGCGCCAUCUCGGCUCACCGCAACUUCCGCCUCCUGGGUUCAGGCAAUUCUCCUGCCUCACCUUCCCGAUUAGCUGGGAUUACAGGCGCGCGCCACCAUGCCCAGCUAAUGUUUUGUAUUUGUAGUAGAGAUGGGGUUUCA